rnacentral:rRNA from 1 species
AAGUCGUAACAAGGUUUCCGUAGGUGACCUGCGGAAGGAUCAUUACCGAGUGAGGGCCCUCUGGGUCCAACCUCCCACCCGUGUUUAUCGUACCUUGUUGCUUCGGCGGGCCCGCCGUAAGGCCGCCGGGGGGCAUCUGCCCUCUGGCCCGCGCCCGCCGAAGACACCAUUGAACGCUGUCUGAAGAUUGCAGUCUGAGCAAUUAGUUAAAUAACUUAAAAACUUUCAACAACGGAUCUCUUGGUUCCGGCAUCGAUGAAGAACGCAGCGAAAUGCGAUACGUAAUGUGAAUUGCAGAAUUCAGUGAAUCAUCGAGUCUUUGAACGCACAUUGCGCCCCCUGGUAUUCCGGGGGGCAUGCCUGUCCGAGCGUCAUUGCUGCCCUCAAGCACGCUUGUGUGUUGGGCUCCGUCCUCCUCCCGGGGGACGGGCCGAAAGGCGGCGGCGGCACCGCGUCCGGUCCUCGAGCGUAUGGGGCUUCGUCACCCGCUCUGUAGGCCCGGCCGGCGCUUGCCGACACAUCAAUCUUUUUUCCAGGUUGACCUCGGAUCAGGUAGGGAUACCCGCUGAACUUAA